ensembl:lncRNA
CGUGCUGAACGCAGCUGGGUGCUAUCACUUACGUGGGGCAUUACCAGUGCUGCCCAGCACGCUUCUCUUUGGGAUUACAGCCCUAUUAGAUGUCUGCCUUCCAUGCCCUGACAACCAUUAAGUGAGGGAAGGUUGGGGCUGGUAGAGCCGAUUCUGUUGCUGUGUUAUCUGAAUAGCACCGAACCCACCAGAUGAAGGCUGGGAAUUAGACAUAAAGUUAACAUAAAAUAGUUCAGCAUUUCACACAACACAAUUCAGAAACUGCAGUAGCCAUCACUGUGACCUUUGCUAAGGAACGUGGAGUUACGUUUCCCAUUGGUGUGAACAGCCUGCACCGCUGGGCUGGUUCUGGGGAAGCACUUGUGCUGUGAUUGUAUAACCAGUUAAUCAGGUGGUGACUCAUAGCCCUGUCCUGGGCUGGGCAGAGGGCGAUCUGUGAGCCCUGCAGGAGUGCGGCUGCCUGGUGGGAGAACCUCGUCCAAAAGAUGGAGUUUUUCAGUUUAGGGGAGCUGAGCCCCACUUGGUUUGGAGCACCCUCAAAAUAGAAACUUCAGGCACGACAAUCCGGUUACAUCAAUAAGACAGAGAGACUCCAAGGACGACCCGUGGAGACAAAGCUCUUUAUUGUAUAGCUUUACAAACGUAGCUAUUGCUGUUUGUGUGAGUGGGAAGCUGAGGUGAGCAGUGAAAGAUGAGCUGCCUUCAGGUUGUGCCGUGCUGGGAUUUUACCCCUCAGUGCUGCCUGGCCUGGGCUGCAGUUGCCCUUUCCUCCUUGUUGAGCUGCUUCGUACAGCCCAGUGUGGGCGUACUGAGUAGUGCUUCU